AUCUUUACGUAUCGCUUGUGCCAUCCGCUCCCAGGAUCCCGUAGCACCCUCUGAAUUUUGAGUAUCUCCUGUAUCAUCUCAGGCGUGCUGUUCUCCAUUGCGGUGACCAUGCACCUGCCGUAUCACCGCACCGUGGCUAGGUCUUGCCUUCCCCACCGUGAGCUCUUUUUGGUAUUCUGCUUGGGUCUGAUCUUAAACUUGUAAAUGGUUUCUGCUCUGUUCCCAUCUGGAUCUGUUGCUCUCCAACUCGCACCCCCCUCCAAGGAUGAAACGGAGGAAAGGAGCCGCAGCCUCUCCAGGACCAGGCGCUUCGCUGGGAGCUCUGAAGACCUGCCUCAGCCGGGGCUCACUGCCCACCCAGCCCAAGGCUGUGUGUGCACUUUCUCUGUACGCUUACACCCUUGCCUGGGGCUUUUAAGAUCCCCAGACUAUUGCUGUUCUGAGCUGGCAUUUCUUUUGUGUGCGCUCCUGAGGUUACAGGGGUCUCACUGCUUAUCCCUGGCCUGGGAACUUCAUGUGUAGACCAAGUUGGUCUUGAAUUUACAGAGAUGUGCCUGUCUCAGCUUCCUCGGAGUGCUGGAAUUAAGGGGUGCUCAUCACAUUCAUCUCCUUGAAUAAUUUCAACAUCCGCAGCUGUCCUUCAGUAUCUGCCGGGGAUUGCCCUCCCCACAACAGAGACCAGAAUCUGCAGAUGCUUAUUUGCAUUAAAUGGCACGAUAUUUGCAUAUAACCUAGGUGCAUCCUCUCAUAUAGUUUAAAUUGUCUCUAGAUUUCUGCUCCGACCCAAUACAAUGCAAUUGCUAUGUAAAUAGGGAAUAACGGCACAAAGAAGUCUGUUCAUAUUUAGUGCAGAUGCCGUAUUUUUUUAAAAGGAGUUUGGAUUAAGCGUUUGCUGAACCAUGGGUUGGAGCACACAGAUACAAAGGGUUGACUGAUUCACUGCUGGUGUGCUGGCGCACACCUGUAAUUCCAGCGUGGGAAAGGUGGCAGGAGAAGGGUGGAGAGCUUGGGGCCAGCCUUGGCUACCUGAGAUCUAGGCUGAAAACAAACAAAACGCCCAAACAAGAAAUUUGAACUUGACUUCCAUGAUUAAGAUAAAAGUAAUAAAUCUGUUCUGUUCA